rnacentral:rRNA from 1 species
CCUACGGGAGGCUGCAGUGGGGGAUAUUGCACAAUGGGGGGAACCCUGAUGCAGCGACGCCGCGUGGGUGAAGAAGCGCCUCGGCGCGUAAAGCCCUGUCAGCAGGGAAGAAAAUGACGGUACCUGAAGAAGAAGCCCCGGCUAACUACGUGCCAGCAGCCGCGGGAAUACGUAGGGGGCAAGCGUUAUCCGGAUUUACUGUGUGUAAAGGGGGCGCAGACGGCGAUGCAAGCCAGGAGUGAAAGCCCGGGGCCCAACCCCGGGACUGCUCUUGGAACGGCGUGGCUGGAGUGCAGGAGGGGCAGGCGGAAUUCCUGGUGUAGCGGUGAAAUGCGUAGAUAUCAGGAGGAACACCGGUGGCGAAGGCGGCCUGCUGGACUGCAACUGACGUUGAGGCCCGAAAGCGUGGGGAGCAAACAGGAUUAGAUAUCCGGGUAGUC